rnacentral:rRNA from 1 species
GCGACGAGCGGGAGAGCUCAAUUUGAAAGCUGGCGUCUUCGGCGUCCGCGUUGUAAUCUCGAGACGUGUUUUCCGUGCGGCUCUAUGGACAAGUCCCUUGGAACAGGGCAUCGUAGAGGGUGAAAAUCCCGUACUUGCCAUGGAAGUACCGUGCUUUGUGAUACACGUUCCAAGAGUCGAGUAGUUUGGGAUUGCUGCUCAAAGUGGGUGGUAGACUCCAUCUAAAGCUAAAUAUCGGGGAGAGACCGAUAGCGAACAAGUACCGUGAGGGAAAGAUGAAAAGCACUUUGGAAAGAGAGUUAAAAGUACGUGAAAUUGUCGAAAGGGAAGCACUUGAAGUCAGCCAUGCUGCUUGAGACUCAGCCUGGCUUUUGCUUGGUGUAUUUCUCGGUAGCAAGCCAGCAUUGGUUUGUGUCGUCGGAGAAGCGUAUGGGGAAUGUGGCAUCCUCGGAUGUGUUAUAGCCCUGUGCUGGAUACGACGACGCAGACCAAGGAA